UUUCAUCCUGGACAGGACAGUAACUGGAGCAGAUGGACUGCCCUGGCCGCCAGCUGUGAUGUUGUUUCUGCUGUGGAGCUGUUACAUUGUUCCCAGACACAAUACAAUAGACAAGCGGGGGGUUUUCUGUCCAUACAUUAAUCGUCCAUCUGCGCACAGCAGCGCGGAGGAGGAGCGUUAACGGCGCAGGGACCGGACAGCAGGGCGGACAUGGCGGUACACAACACAGUGCUGUAUGUCACUGCUGGACCUGAGAGAGGUUGUUUCUCAGCUUUAAAACUGAAGAUUGCUUUGAUAAACUGAUGUCUGAUGCCACCUGGAAUCAUGGAAGAGCAGCAGUCGGUGUUUGUGACUUCCUGCGCGGGGAUGCUGCCCGUUUGGGGCGCAACGCUGUGACUUUCUGCGGGUGAGGCUGCAAAGUUUCCAGGCAGAGCUCCAAACCAGGGCGGUAAUUUCAGAAGAAUGAAGAUGUUCCAGCUCUACGAUGCUGCAGGAAGCACCAAAGUACACUAUGUUGUGAACUGACCUGGAGCAAACAGACGUGAAUAAACUGCAGUCUGACAGAGGAGAGAAGAGACAGCAGGCA